rnacentral:rRNA from 1 species
UACGUAGGGUGCAAGCGUUGUCCGGAAUUAUUGGGCGUAAAGAGCUCGUAGGCGGUCUGUCGCGUCUGCUGUGAAAUCUCGGGGCUUAACUCCGAAACUGCAUUCGAUACUGGCGUGCUUGAGGACUGGAGAGGAGACUGGAAUUCAUGGUGUAGCAGUGAAAUGCGUAGAGAUCAUGAGGAAGACCAGUGGCGAAGGCGGGUCUCUGGACAGUUCCUGACACUGAGACACGAAGGCCAGGGGAGCAAACGGG